rnacentral:lncRNA from 1 species
GGCGACUUGGCGGCGGGUGCCAUGCGUCUGGAGCUUCACAUUCUCUGCCCCCCACCCACCGCGCCGGCGCUCCCUUGUCACGCCUCGGGAAGCGCGCACCUGCCAAGCAGGAUGAAUAAUCUGAUAUCAUGUGAAAUGAGGAAAUAAGAAGCUUUCUGCUGACUUCAUUUUGACCCAGGGUCCAAAAGGUGAUGUAAUCCUGUGGCAAGAAGAUUCAAAACUGUGGACUAUCUUGCAAAAAAUACAAGAAGAUAUUGAAAGUUUUCAUGAGUGCCUACCACCUAAUCUCAAACACUAUCAUUCAUAUGUGCCUCAUUGAGCAAAUCUUUAAUGAGGAUCUAUAUGCCAGCAAUAUCUUUUGCUUGGGAGCAGAAACAGAAAGUACAUGAUGGACUUCAUUGAAGGAUGGAGAUUUGGAAGACAUGAAUGGAUGAAGAACCAAGUGCGUGAGGGCACCUAUCAGGAUUAUUGCUGAAAUCCUUAUGGAGUUAACUGGCUGAGAGGAAGGCAAGCAAGCGAGGACUGAUGGGCCCUUGGCACUGUGAGAACAGUGGAGGAGGAGGGAGCAGGGUUCAUAAGGAGGAGCACAAACAGAAAGUUCAGUGGCCCCAAUAAAAAUAACACCAGAAUCUUCCAGAUACUUUCUCCAUAAGGCGAAAAGAGAUGGGGUUUCACCAUGUUGCCCAGGCUGGUCUCAAACUCCUGAGCUCAGGCC